rnacentral:rRNA from 1 species
ACUUGAACACCCACAGGCGAAGACAACUCGAAAGUUAUCACGGGAUUACGGGUUCGGCCGAUGGCGCAAGCCUUCGUCGGGCCCCUCCAUCCCAGGGUGUCCCGGUACGGGUGCUUGCACCCAGCGGACAUCCCCGGAGUGCGUAGGAUGUGACCCGAAAGAUGGUGAACUAUGCCUGAUCAGGUCGAAUUCAGGGGAAACCCUGAUGGAGGACCGAAACAAUUCUGACGUGCAAAUCAAUUGUCAGAGUUGGGCAUACUUGCGAAAGACCAAUCGAACCAUCUAGUAGCUGGUUCCUUCCG